CGCUGGCGGCGUGCUUAACACAUGCAAGUCGAACGAUGAAGCCCUUCGGGGUGGAUUAGUGGCGAACGGGUGAGUAACACGUGGGCAAUCUGCCCUUCACUCUGGGACAAGCCCUGGAAACGGGGUCUAAUACCGGAUACCACUCCUGCCUGCAUGGGCGGGGGUUGAAAGCUCCGACGGUGAAGGAUGAGCCCGCGGCCUAUCAGCUUGUUGGUGGGGUAAUGGCCCACCAAGGCGACGACGGGUAGCCGGCCUGAGAGGGCGACCGGCCACACUGGGACUGAGACACGGCCCAGACUCCUACGGGAGGCAGCAGUGGGGAAUAUUGCACAAUGGGCGAAAGCCUGAUGCAGCGACGCCGCGUGAGGGAUGACGGCCUUCGGGUUGUAAACCUCUUUCAGCAGGGAAGAAGCGAAAGUGACGGUACCUGCAGAAGAAGCGCCGGCU
rnacentral:rRNA from 1 species